GACGAACGCUGGCGGCGUGCCUAACACAUGCAAGUCGAGCGGAGUCGAUCGACGGAAGCCUUCGGGCGGAAGAUGGUUGACUUAGCGGCGGAUGGGUGAGUAACGCGUGGGCAACCUGCCUCGAAGACCGGGAUAACAGCCCGAAAGGGCUGCUAAUACCGGAUGUGGUCAAGGAUCCGCAUGGAUUUUUGAUUAAAGGGGAAACCCGUUUCGAGAUGGGCCCGCGUCCUAUCAGCUAGUUGGUGAGGUAAAAGCUCACCAAGGCGACGACGGGUAGCCGGCCUGAGAGGGUGACCGGCCACACUGGAACUGAGACACGGUCCAGACUCCUACGGGGGGCAGCAGUGGGGAAUCUUCCACAAUGGGCGAAAGCCUGAUGGAGCGACGCCGCGUGAGCGAAGAAGGCCUUCGGGUUGUAAAGCUCUGUCUGGAGGGACGAAGGAAGUGACGGUACCUCCGGAGGAAGCCACGGCUAACUACGUGCCAGCAGCCGCGGUAAGAUCACGUGUA
rnacentral:rRNA from 1 species